rnacentral:rRNA from 1 species
AACGAACGCUGGCGGCAUGCCUAACACAUGCAAGUCGAACGAGACCUUCGGGUCUAGUGGCGCACGGGUGCGUAACGCGUGGGAACCUGCCUUUAGGUUCGGAAUAACUCAGAGAAAUUUGAGCUAAUACCGGAUGAUGUCUUCGGACCAAAGAUUUAUCGCCUUUAGGUGGGCCCGCGUUGGAUUAGCUAGUUGGUUGGGUAAAGGCCUACCAAGGCGACGAUCCAUAGCUGGUCUGAGAGGAUGAUCAGCCACACUGGGACUGAGACACGGCCCAGACUCCUACGGAAGGCAGCAGUGGAGAAUAUUGGACAAUGGGCGAAAGCCUGAUCCAGCAAUGCCGCGUGAGUGAUGAAGGCAUUAGGGUUGUAAAGCUCUUUUAACCGAGAUGAUAAUGACAGUACCGGGAGAAUAAGCACCGGCUAACUCCGUG